rnacentral:rRNA from 1 species
UUGAUCAUGGCUCAGAUUGAACGCUGGCGGCAAGGCCUAACACAUGCGAGUCGAGCGGAUGACGGGAGCUUGCUCCUUGAUUCAGCGGCGGACGGGUGAGUAAUGCCUAGGAAUCUGCCUGGUAGUGGGGGACAACGUUUCGAAAGGAACGCUAAUACCGCAUACGUCCUACGGGAGAAAGCAGGGGACCUUCGGGCCUUGCGCUAUCAGAUGAGCCUAGGUCGGAUUAGCUAGUUGGUGGGGUAAUGGCUCACCAAGGCGACGAUCCGUAACUGGUCUGAGAGGAUGAUCAGUCACACUGGAACUGAGACACGGUCCAGACUCCUACGGGAGGCAGCAGUGGGGAAUAUUGGACAAUGGGCGAAAGCCUGAUCCAGCCAUGCCGCGUGUGUGAAGAAGGUCUUCGGAUUGUAAAGCACUUUAAGUUGGGAGGAAGGGCAGUAAGUUAAUACCUUGCUGUUUUGACGUUACCGACAGAAUAAGCACCGGCUAACUCUGUGCCAGCAGCCGCGGUAAUACAGAGGGUGCAAGCGUUAAUCGGAAUUACUGGGCGUAAAGCGCGCGUA